rnacentral:rRNA from 1 species
CCCGUCGGAUGAACGCUGGCGGCGUGCUUAACACAUGCAAGUCGAACGAUGAUCUCCAGCUUGCUGGGGGGAUUAGUGGCGAACGGGUGAGUAACACGUGAGUAACCUGCCCUUGACUCUGGGAUAAGCCUGGGAAACUGGGUCUAAUACCGGAUACGACCGUCCCGCGCAUGCGGUGGUGGUGGAAAGCUUUUGCGGUUUUGGAUGGACUCGCGGCCUAUCAGCUUGUUGGUGGGGUAAUGGCCUACCAAGGCGACGACGGGUAGCCGGCCUGAGAGGGUGACCGGCCACACUGGGACUGAGACACGGCCCAGACUCCUACGGGAGGCAGCAGUGGGGAAUAUUGCACAAUGGGCGAAAGCCUGAUGCAGCGACGCCGCGUGAGGGAUGACGGCCUUCGGGUUGUAAACCUCUUUCAGUAGGGAAGAAGCGAAAGUGACGGUACCUGCAGAAGAAGCGCCGGCUAACUACGUGCCAGCAGCCGCGGUAAUACGUAGGGCGCAAGCGUUAUCCGGAAUUAUUGGGCGUAAAGAGCUCGUAGGCGGUUUGUCGCGUCUGCUGUGAAAGACCGGGGCUCAACUCCGGUUCUGCAGUGGGUACGGGCAGACUAGAGUGAUGUAGGGGAGACUGGAAUUCCUGGUGUAGCGGUGAAAUGCGCAGAUAUCAGGAGGAACACCGAUGGCGAAGGCAGGUCUCUGGGCAUUAACUGACGCUGAGGAGCGAAAGCAUGGGGAGCGAACAGGAUUAGAUACCCUGGUAGUCCAUGCCGUAAACGUUGGGCACUAGGUGUGGGGGACAUUCCACGUUUUCCGCGCCGUAGCUAACGCAUUAAGUGCCCCGCCU